rnacentral:misc_RNA from 1 species
GAUGAAGAACGCAGCGAAAUGCGAUAAGUAAUGUGAAUUGCAGAAUUCAGUGAAUCAUCGAAUCUUUGAACGCACCUUGCACCCUUUGGCAUUCCGAAGGGUAUGCUCGUUUGAGUGUCAUUGUACUCUCACACUCUCCGAUCCUAUGGAUUCGGGGAGCGGUGGACUUGGGUGUUGCUGCCUUUCCUUGUGGCUCACCUCAAAUGUGUCAGUGCACCUCUUGGUUGGACAUAGUACGGCGUGAUAAGUGUCUUCGCCGGCACCUCGCAAGAGGGUGGCCGAUCGGGAGCUCUGUGCUUUCAAACCGUCUUCGGACAAUUUCUGACAACUUGACCUCAAAGCGAGUAGGACUACCCGCUGAACUUAAGCAUAUCAAUAAGCGGAGGA